GACGAACGCUGGCGGCGUGCUUAACACAUGCAAGUCGAACGGAAAGGCCCUGCUUUUGUGGGGUGCUCGAGUGGCGAACGGGUGAGUAACACGUGAGUAACCUGCCCUUGACUUUGGGAUAACUUCAGGAAACUGGGGCUAAUACCGGAUAGGAGCUCCUGCUGCAUGGUGGGGGUUGGAGAGUUUCGGCGGUUGGGGAUGGACUCGCGGCUUAUCAGCUUGUUGGUGGGGUAGUGGCUUACCAAGGCUUUGACGGGUAGCCGGCCUGAGAGGGUGACCGGCCACAUUGGGACUGAGAUACGGCCCAGACUCCUACGGGAGGCAGCAGUGGGGAAUAUUGCACAAUGGGCGGAAGCCUGAUGCAGCAACGCCGCGUGCGGGACGACGGCCUUCGGGUUGUAAACCGCUUUCGCCUGUGACGAAGCGUGAGUGACGGUAAUGGGUAAAGAAGCACCGGCUAACUACGUG
rnacentral:rRNA from 1 species